AGCAGUUCUUGGGUGACGCACCUCAGAAUCGGGCUCCCUCCUCUCUGGUUCUGGGUGCGUCACCCGAGAACCACA
rfam:Myotis davidii contig196396, whole genome shotgun sequence.